rnacentral:ribozyme from 13 species
AAAAAAAAAAAAAAAAAAAAAAAAAAAAAAAACA